AUGUCUGAUGCUGUGUGUGAGAUUGCAAGUGCUAUCAACAACACAUGUCAUACUGAAACACACCCUGAGUUGUACAAGGCUGUAAUGGACCUUGUUGAGUAUGAUCUUGCUGAGCGGUUGGCUGUUUUAGAUUAUCUGACUGGACAUAAGGGAAAAGGCCUUAAUUUCGUGAAGAUGAAUGAGGAGGUCCGCAAACCAUCGUUCAAGCGUAUCUUGGAGAAGAAUCCUGAUCUUGUUUGA
rnacentral:rRNA from 1 species